UGGGGAAUAUUGCACAAUGGGCGAAAGCCUGAUGCAGCAACGCCGCGUGAGUGGUGAAGGUCUUCGGAUUGUAAAGCUCUGUCUUUUGGGACGAUAAUGACGGUACCAAAGGAGGAAGCCACGGCUAACUACGUGCCAGCAGCCGCGGUAAUACGUAGGUGGCGAGCGUUGUCCGGAUUUACUGGGCGUAAAGGGUGCGUAGGCGGAUGUUUAAGUGAGAUGUGAAAUACCCGGGCUUAACUUGGGUGCUGCAUUUCAAACUGGAUAUCUAGAGUGCAGGAGAGGAGAAUGGAAUUCCUAGUGUAGCGGUGAAAUGCGUAGAGAUUAGGAAGAACACCAGUGGCGAAGGCGAUUCUCUGGACUGUAACUGACGCUGAGGCACGAAAGCGUGGGUAGCAAACAGGAUUAGAUACCCUGGUAGUCCACGCCGUAAACGAUGAGUACUAGGUGUAGGAGGUAUCGACCCCUUCUGUGCCGCAGUAAACAC
rnacentral:rRNA from 1 species